AGAGGACCGGCUCGAGCGCGCACGCCAUCGCCAAGUACAUGGAGGAGAAGCACGGGGCGUCGCUGCCGGCCAACUACAAGAAGAUGCUCUCCAUCCAGCUGCGCGGGUUCGCUUCCAAGGGCAAGCUCGUCAAGGUUAAGGCCUCCUACAAGCUCUCCGACGCCGCCAAGGACUCGCCCAAGGCCAAGCCUGCCGCCCCCGCCCCCAAGGCAGCAGCGCCGAAGCCAGCGAAGGACGCCGCCAAACCCAAGAAGGACGCCGCCGCUGCCAAACCCAAGAAGGCCCCCGCCGCUGGCACCAAGCGCAAGGCGCCGGAGAAGAAGGUGGUCGCCAAGCCCAAGAAGUCUCCGGCGGCGAAGGCGAAGGCCAAGCCCAAGACCGUCCGGUCGCCGGCCGCGAAGAAGACCCGCAAGGCACCUGCAGCUUGAGUUGGGAGUUUGGUUGAUAGCUAUGUAGGUCCCCUCUUGGUUGAAAUGGUUGGUGUUUAGGAUCUGUACAAAGGCUGCCUCGGCUAUGUCUCCCUAUUUAGAUAGUUCUCUUGAGUAGGCGAAGUUCUAUGUAUCCCUUGAUG
rnacentral:misc_RNA from 1 species